AAUGUGGCGUGCAUUUGUAUUCAGCCCCUUAUACUCUGAUACCCUUAAAUAAAAUCCAGUUUGUCCAAUUGUCUUCAGAAGUCACCUAAUUAGUAAAUAGAGUCCACCUGUGUGUAAUUUAUUCUCAGUCUAAUUACAGUUGUUCUGUGAAGGCCUCCGAGCCUUUUUAGACAACACU